GCCGGUUUGGUUCAGUGGAUAGAGCAUCAGCCUGUGGACUGAAGGGUCCCGGGUUCGAUUCCCGGUCAAGGCA
rnacentral:tRNA from 1 species